rnacentral:rRNA from 1 species
GAACCGUACAAACGUUAUUCGGAAUUACUGGGCUUAAAGGGUGCGUAGGCGGCUUGGCAAGUUGGGUGUGAAAUCCCUCGGCUCAACCGAGGAACUGCGCCCAAAACUGCCAGACUUGAGGGAGACAGAGGUGAGUGGAACUUAGGGUGGAGCGGUGAAAUGCGUUGAUAUCCUAAGGAACACCAGUGGCGAAAGCGACUCACUGGGUCUCUUCUGACGCUGAGGCACGAAAGCUAGGGUAGCGAACGGGAUUAGAUACCCCGGUAGUCCUAGCUGUAAACGAUGAGCACUGGGUCGGAGAGCCCCUCCAUAGCUUUCCGGGCCCGAAGCGAAAGUGUUAAGUGCUCCGCCUGGGGGAGUAUGGUCGCAAGGCUG